UCGCGUCUUACGACGGCAGUUUCACUAGAGUUCCCACCAUUACGUGUUGGCAAAUAGUGAUAAGGGUUGCGCUCGUUGCGGGACUUAACCCAACACCUCACGGCACGAGCUGACGACAGCCAUGCAGCACCUGUGCAAAGGCCCCGAAGGGCGGCCACAUUUCUGCAGCAUUCCUUUGCAUGUCAAACCUGGGUAAGGUUCUUCGCGUUGCAUCGAAUUAAACCACAUGCUCCACUGCUUGUGCGGGUCCCCGUCAAUUCUUUUGAGUUUCAGCCUUGCGACUGUACUCCCCAGGCGGUAUACUUAACGCGUUAGCUACGGCACAGCCGGGGUUGAGUCCAGCUACACCAAGUAUACAUAGUUUACGGCAAGGACUAC
rnacentral:misc_RNA from 1 species